UACGUAGGGCGCAAGCGUUGUCCGGAAUUAUUGGGCGUAAAGAGCUCGUAGGCGGUUUGUCGCGUCUGCUGUGAAAACCUAAGGCUCAACCUUGGGCUUGCAGUGGGUACGGGCAGACUAGAGUGCGGUAGGGGUGACUGGAAUUCCUGGUGUAGCGGUGGAAUGCGCAGAUAUCAGGAGGAACACCGGUGGCGAAGGCGGAUCUCUGGGCCUUACCUGACGCUCAGGCACGAAAGCUAGGGGAGCGAACAGG
rnacentral:rRNA from 1 species